ACCUGAUGGACCAAGUACUGAAACCCCAUCGAGAAUAUGCAGCGGCCUAUCUGGAUGAUGUGGUAAUUCAGAGCCCAGACUGGGAGAGCCACCUACCACGGGUUCAGAAGGUCCUUGACUCCCUCCGACAGGCAGGCUUGACCGCCAACCCCAAAAAGUGUAGGCUGGCGUUUGGGGAGACCAACUACUUGGGGUACACCAUCGGGCGGGGCCUUGUGAAACCCCAGGAUGCGAAACUCGCUGCCAUCCAAGACUGGCCAAAGCCGUUAACCAAAAAACAGCGGCCCCUCUCACCGAACUGACGACCAAGAAACAUUCCCGUAUGGUGACAUGGUGCCCGGCGGCAGAAGAGGCUUUUAACGACCUGAAGAGGGCCUUGUGUUCGAAACCAGUCCUGAUGGCCCCCGACUUUAGCAAGGAGUUCGUGGUCCAGGCAGAUGCUUCUGAGAUGGGCCUGGGUGCUGUCUUAGCCCAGAUGAAGGAAGGCCAGGGCGACGCCAUGGCAACGCAGAUGCCCUGUCCCGCCGUGAUGCC